rnacentral:rRNA from 1 species
AUAUUAAUAAGCGGAGGAAAAGAAACUAACAAGGGUUCCCCUAGUAACGGCGAGUGAAGCGGGAAGAGCUCAAAUUUGAAAUCUCCCUAACGGGCGAAUUGUAGUUGAUAGAAACGUUUUCGGGGGUAGGCUGGGCACAAGUUACCUGGAAAGGUACAUCAUAGAGGGUGAGAAUCCCGUCUGUGGUCCAGCUCUGCUCCUAUGUGAUACGUUUUCUAAGAGUCGGGUUGUUUGGGAUUGCAGCCCUAAAUGGGUGGUAAAUACCAUCUAAAGCUAAAUAACUAGCGAGAGACCGAUAGCGCACAAGUA